rnacentral:rRNA from 1 species
UACAGAGGGGGCAAGCGUUGUUCGGAAUUACUGGGCGUAAAGGGCGCGUAGGCGGCCUGCUAAGUCGAACGUGAAAUCCCUGGGCUCAACCCAGGAACUGCGUCCGAUACUGGUUGGCUUGAAACCGGGAGAGGGAUGUGGAAUUCCAGGUGUAGCGGUGAAAUGCGUAGAUAUCUGGAGGAACACCGGUGGCGAAGGCGACAUCCUGGACCGGUAUUGACGCUGAGGCGCGAAAGCCAGGGGAGCAAACGGG